rnacentral:rRNA from 1 species
CCUACGGGAGGCAGCAGUGAGGAAUAUUGGUCAAUGGACGAGAGUCUGAACCAGCCAAGUAGCGUGAAGGAUGACUGCCCUAUGGGUUGUAAACUUCUUUUAUAUGGGAAUAAAAUGUUCCACGUGUGGGAUUUUGUAUGUACCAUAUGAAUAAGGAUCGGCUAACUCCGUGCCAGCAGCCGCGGUAAUACGGAGGAUCCGAGCGUUAUCCGGAUUUAUUGGGUUUAAAGGGAGCGUAGGUGGAUUGUUAAGUGAGUUGUGAAAGUUUGCGGCUCAACCGUAAAAUUGCAGUUGAAACUGGCAGUCUUGAGUACAGUAGAGGUGGGCGGAAUUCGUGGUGUAGCGGUGAAAUGCUUAGAUAUCACGAAGAACUCCGAUUGCGAAGGCAGUUCACUGGACUGCAACUGACACUGAGGCUCGAAAGUGUGGGUAUCAAACAGGAUUAGAUACCCGAGUAGUC